GACGAACGCUGGCGGCGUGCUUAACACAUGCAAGUCGAACGGAAAGGCCCUGCUUUUGUGGGGUGCUCGAGUGGCGAACGGGUGAGUAACACGUGAGUAACCUGCCCUUGACUUUGGGAUAACUUCAGGAAACUGGGGCUAAUACCGGAUAGGAGCUCCUGCUGCAUGGUGGGGGUUGAAAGUUUCGGCGGUUGGGGAUGGACUCGCGGCUUAUCAGCUUGUUGGUGGGGUAGUGGCUUACCAAGGCUUUGACGGGUAGCCGGCCUGAGAGGGUGACCGGCCACAUUGGGACUGAGAUACGGCCCAGACUCCUACGGGAGGCAGCAGUGGGGAAUAUUGCACAAUGGGCGGAAGCCUGAUGCGGCAACGCCGCGUGCGGGAUGACGGCCUUCGGGUUGUAAACCGCUUUCGCCUGUGACGAAGCGUGAGUGACGGUAAUGGGUAAAGAAGCACCGGCUAACUACGUG
rnacentral:rRNA from 1 species